GCCCUGUGAUGAGACCUUGGCGAAUGUGAGCUAAUGUGCGAGUGCGAGGUUUUCCCAACCGACUGAUUGGUGGGUAAUCUUGGCGGUGUAGUGGAGAUUGGCUGCUCUGCUGUAAGGGUCCACCUACAGUAAAUGUAAAUCUGCCCUCACACUCUUCCUCAUUCCGAGACGUGAGGUGGAAGAGGGUGGAAAUGACAAGUGUGUGUGUGUGUGUCAGGAGGCUGGGAAACUCGCAAACUGUCAGUGUGCCAUGAACAAAUUCUUUGGUAAUCUGAGGGCA